GAUGAACGCUGGCGGCGUGCCUAAUACAUGCAAGUCGAGCGAACAGACGAGGAGCUUGCUCCUCUGACGUUAGCGGCGGACGGGUGAGUAACACGUGGAUAACCUACCUAUAAGACUGGGAUAACUUCGGGAAACCGGAGCUAAUACCGGAUAACAUGUUGAACCGCAUGGUUUAACAGUGAAAGACGGUCUUGCUGUCACUUAUAGAUGGAUCCGCGCCGCAUUAGCUAGUUGGUAAGGUAACGGCUUACCAAGGCAACGAUGCGUAGCCGACCUGAGAGGGUGAUCGGCCACACUGGAACUGAGACACGGUCCAGACUCCUACGGGAGGCAGCAGUAGGGAAUCUUCCGCAAUGGGCGAAAGCCUGACGGAGCAACGCCGCGUGAGUGAAGAAGGUCUUCGGAUCGUAAAACUCUGUUAUUAGGGAAGAACAAAUGUGUAAGUAACUAUGCACGUCUUGACGGCACCUAAUCAGAAAGCCACGGCUAACUACGUGC
rnacentral:rRNA from 1 species